GCACAUGGUGGAUGCCUUGGCAGUCAGAGGCGAUGAAAGACGUGACAGCCUGCGAUAAGCUUCGGGGAGGCGGCAAUAUCCUGUGAUCCGGAGAUUUCUGAAUGGGGAAACCCAACUAGCAUAAGCUAGUUAUCCUAAUUUAUUAGGAAGCGAACGAGGGGAAGUGAAACAUCUCAGUACCCUUAGGAAUAGACAUCAAUUGAGAUUCCCCUAGUAGCGGCGAGCGAACGGGGAGAAGCCGAUUAGUACUAAUGUAGAAGAACAGCGUGGGAAAGCUGACCGUAGUAGGUGAUAGUCCUGUAUUCGAAACAUUAGCAUUAACAUAUUAAGUAGAGCGGGGCACGAGAAAUCCUGUUUGAAGAUGGGGGGACCAUCCUCCAAGGCUAAAUACUCCUGACUGACCGAUAGUGAACCAGUACCGUGAGGGAAAGGCGAAAAGAACCCCUGUGAGGGGAGUGAAAUAGAACCUGAAACCGUGUGCGUACAAGCAGUGGGAGCCUACUUGUUAGGUGACCGCGUACCUUUUGUAUAAUGGGUCAGCGACUUAUGUUCUGUAGCAAGGUUAACCGUUUAGGGGAGCCGUAGGGAAACCGAGUCUUAAUAGGGCGAUUAGUUGCAGGGCAUAGACCCGAAACCGAGUGAUCUAUCCAUGAGCAGGUUGAAAGUGCCGUAACAGGCACCGGAGGACCGAACCCACUGUCGUUGAAAAGCCAGGGGAUGACUUGUGGAUAGGGGUGAAAGGCUAAUCAAACUCGGUGAUAGCUGGUUCUCCCCGAAAGCUAUUUAGGUAGCGCCUCGGACGAACACCAUUGGGGGUAGAGCACUGUUUCGGCUAGGGGGUCAUACCGACUUACCAAACCGAUGCAAACUCCGAAUACCGAUGAGUGAUAUCCGGGAGACACACGGUGGGUGCUAACGUCCAUCGUGGAGAGGGAAACAACCCAGACCGCCAGCUAAGGCCCCAAAUUCCUAGUUAAGUGGGAAACGAGGUGGGAAGGCAUAGACAGCUAGGAGGUUGGCUUAGAAGCAGCCAUCCUUUAAAGAAAGCGUAAUAGCUCACUAGUCGAGUCGGCCCGCGCGGAAGAUGUAACGGGGCUCAAACUAGGAGCCGAAGCUGCGGAUUUGAAUUUGUUUUCAAGUGGUAGGGGAGCGUUGUGUAAGCCUGUGAAGGUGUGUUGUAAAGCAUGCUGGAGGUAUCACAAGAGCGAAUGCUGACGUGAGUAACGAUAAUGCGAGUGAAAAGCUCGCACGCCGGAAGAUCAAGGGUUCCAGUCCAACGUUAAUCGGGGCUGGGUGAGUCGACCCCUAAGGCGAGGCCGAAAGGCGUAGUCGAUGGGAAAUCGGUUAAUAUUCCGAUACUUGUUUAUAAUGCGAUGGAGGGACGGAGAAGGUUAUGUCAGCCUGGCGUUGGUUGUCCAGGUGAAAGGAUGUAGGUUUAUAGCUUAGGUAAAUCCGGGCUAUUUUAUACCGAGAUCUGAUAGCAAGCUGUACUUGUACAGCGAAGUGGCAAAUACCAUGCUUCCAGGAAAAGCUUCUAAGCAAUAGUUAUAAACGAAUCGUACCCUAAACCGACACAGGUGAUCAGGUAGAGAAUACCAAGGCGCUUGAGAGAACUCUGCUGAAGGAACUAGGCAAAAUGGUACCGUAACUUCGGGAGAAGGUACGCUGUUGGUGGUGAUAGGACUUGCUCCUUGAGCUGCUGGCAGUCGCAGAUACCAGGC
rnacentral:rRNA from 1 species